rnacentral:lncRNA from 1 species
UUUUUUGUCUUUUGGUUAUCGAGAAAUCUUUAAUCUUCUGAAGUUGCCUUCUCUAUCUCUGCCCCUCUUCCUUAACGGUUGUUCCACAUAUAAGUACUGUAAAUGUAGCAAAGGAGGAAACAUUUCUUCUGAAACUGGUCCAAACCGCGAAAUUGCUCUCGACUCGUCAAUUACUGAACCGAGAUAUCUAUUCCGUUCAGAUGGCAUGUUGCAAGUAAGCUAGCAAAUUUUUAUUGUCCAAUAUAUAUGAUCAUGUAAACAAUCCGUUGCAUCUUAGAGCAAAUAUUAUUAACAGAGCUGAGUAGCAAUGUUUUCUGGAGUGAUUACCUAGUAUUCUGCUUGUGUGUGUUAGGAACUGCCUUGGCGGGGUGCUGGUGUUGCAAUCCCA